CUGGGACUACCCGGAGCUCAAGGCUAGGGAUGCCCUGGUGACCUGAAGGAAGGAAAAGGUUCAGAUCAGAGUUUCGACUCUCAGUGUCCAUCCACUCUUUCAGUCCUGGGAAGGGAGACCCUGUCCCAGCUUGAUCUCACCUCUACUGAGGAAUCAUGGGGCCAAAACCGACAAUUUCCAGAAUCCCCGGGCUCUGGUCCUCACUGGGGUCACCCCGUGGCCUGUGACACCAGAUUGUUUUCUGCCCACAGCUCAUAGAUCGAGCGUACAAGGGAAUGCCCAUGAACAUCCGGGGCCCGAUGUGGUCAGUCCUCCUGAACAUUGAGGAAAUGAAGUUGAAAAACCCCGGAAGAUACCAGAUCAUGAAGGAGAAGGGCAAGAGGUCAUCUGAGCACAUCCAGCGCAUCGACCGGGACAUAAGCGGGACAUUAAGGAAGCAUAUGUUCUUCAGGGAUCGAUACGGAACCAAGCAGCGGGAACUACUCCACAUCCUCCUGGCAUAUGAGGAGUAUAACCCGAGGAAGCCUCUCCUUCAGAGGAAGCCUCUCCAGUCACCUCUGCCCUCUCCAAUGACAUGAGUCCU
rnacentral:lncRNA from 1 species